GCGUGUGAUUAUUGGAGAGAGAGGGAGAGAGAAAGCAAAGCAAAAGGGAGUGAGAGGUAGAGAGGAACCCACCUCAGUAUUGCUUUCUAGUAAAUAAAAGGAACAAACCAAAUUAAAAAUAAACAAAGAACAUGUAGCUGAUGAAGGAAAAGAUGUGGACUGGAAGAGAAAGGUCGGCAACAAACAACUACUGAAGAAGAAACAUACAUAUAUAUAAGAAAUAUAGAAAGACAACAGAAGAAAAGGCUCGUUUCGUUACUUCAUCCUAAUACAUAUCUGUUUUUUUGUUAUCUUAUAUUACUACAAGACUGCAGUAGUUUCAGCUUGGCUUGGGGAUUUCAUUUGAUUUCCUUUCAAUUCUUUUUCCUCCUUCCUAUUAUAUGUUUUAGUUAACCCAGAAGGGAACUGAGUCAAAGUGACAGUAGCAGUAGCCGCAGCUAAGCUAACAGAAAACUCGCAAUCUCUCUCAGUAUAGCUAGCAGAUUAAUGGCAGAAGGCAAAGGAGAGCCAAAAAAAAAAGAAGAAAUAAACAAUUCUGCUUGCUGUGCUGUUCACUAAUUGGAAAGCCACCCAACAAAGAAGAUCUCUUUCUCUUUCUCUUUCUUUUUAUCUUCUUCUGUUACAAUUUCAGAGAUUCGACCCCACCCUUUCCCCCUUCUCUCUAACUCAUAUAACACCUAAAUAGAGAGAUAUCUUCUUUCUCCACUUCUCUCCAUCUUUUCUUUUUUGGUUUUUCCCUUGUUUUCCUUUUUCAUAUUGAAACUUGACUUUUACUCUUGAUUAUGUGUAUGUUUUAUGUUUGUAAAGAUUGAGUUUUCAGCAAUUGAAGGAGACGUCUUUAUCUAUAUAAUUUCGUUAUUAUCGUUGUCAUUGUGGCUACCACAAGAAGGCAGCUACCUUCAGACUCAGGAGCCUUUGCAGAUUGGGCGACGUCAUCGUCCGCAGCAAUCCGAGCUGGCCCCGAUGACCUGUCCCUUGGCUUCAACGCAAACGCGGCUGCCGCGGUGGCUGCUCCACCUGGAUCCACCAGCGCUCAAUGGCCACCCUCAGCUCGUCCACUCAACUACGGGCUUCCCUCUGAAAUGGGGAUGGUUGGUCUCCGCGAUUUCGUUGUUGUUGCUCCUGCGUCUUUUAACCAUCAUCACCAUCACCAUCACCACCAUGCUCAAGAUCCCAUCAUCGGAAAUGAUCAAAUCAACGGUCAAAAUGCUGCCACGGCACUUGGUGUUGGCGUUGGUGUUUUCCCACUCCUUACAGCAUCUCCAUGCUUAGCUCCUCAAAAUAUGGAAGAUUCUGAUUUAGUGAAUAACAGUGGUCGUAACAAACUCAGUGGGAUGCAGUUAUGGCAGAACCAAACCUCUCCUAAUUAUCUUAAAAAACAAUCUUCAACCCUUGACAAUAACAAUUCUUCCAUGAAUUUGAUACAAACCAGUGGUGGCGGUGGGAUGGGAGGUGGGAGUGGUGGCUCAGGUACUAGCUCAGGGACUACAUGUCAAGAUUGUGGGAACCAGGCCAAGAAAGAUUGUAGUCAUAGGAGAUGUAGAACAUGCUGUAAAAGUCGGGGAUUUGAUUGCCCUACUCACGUGAGGAGCACGUGGGUGCCUGCUGCUAGGAGAAGAGAGCGCCAGCUGAUGACGGCCGCCCCUACUACUGCCUGUGCUGGCUCGUCAGGGUCUACUUCUGGGGCUAAGAAGCCGAGACUUGUGACUUCACAGACUACAACCACUCUUCAUACAUCAACUUCAAACACUACUCCAAGAAGCUUAGACACUAGCUCAAGUCACCAAGAUGCAGGCUUUAAAGAGACAUUGCCGGGGCAAGUACGUGCACCGGCGGUAUUCAAGUGUGUAAGAGUGACAGCAGUAGAGGAUGGUGAAGAUGAGUAUGCAUAUCAAGCAGUUGUUAAGAUUGGUGGACAUGUGUUCAAAGGGUUCCUUUAUGACCAAGGAGUUGAAGAAAGAGAUGGGUUUCCAAAUAUAUCUGAAUUGCAUCUUGGCGGCGGCAGUGGGACAAAUGGGGGUUCAUCAUCCUCACCUGUUCUUGAUCCUUCUCAGGUUUAUGCCGCCACUGGAGGUGGCUUGCUUGGUGGUUCAACUUAUGAGUUGUGUUUGACAAAAGUGAAAUCUACAGUACAAAGUGCUUUCCAUCAUCAAAAGACAGUGCCAUGAAUAUCCACACACUACUUAAUUUGCUGGUGCAAUGCUUGAGUGGUAAAUUUCUUUAAUCCUACUAGUUUAGUUUUAUGAUUAGUAAUGAAACAGAAGCAAAUGUGGAAUUCAUGAUUAGUCGGAUGUCGGUCCAAUUCAUCGCUAUAGCAUUUUUGCAAUGUGGACAAGCCUGCAGUUGCAUGCAUUCAUGAAUGUUUGAUGUACUUGCUUCUUUUGUUAUCCUAGUAUUAGAAAUGUUCCUUACCCAAAUUUAGACCUCAAUGUAAUCUAUGUGUGUCGUACUUUUAAUACGUUUUGCAAUUAACUGGACAUUUACUCAAUAUUCUAUCAGCAUAUGUCGGUUUUGUUCUUGGUCUUAAAAGUGUAUAACUUGCAACGGAUUUGUCUGUUUGGCUUCAAGCCAUACUUUUUCUUUUUUUCCCUAGAGUUGUGCAAGAUUUUGUAACCUAUCUCUUUGGCUUGUGUAUAAUUGUUGACUGAUACGGAUUAAAAUAAGAUAAACCCUGUAUUUAAUUGUUUGUUUGGCUCUUACUUUCGGCCCGUUGGCAUGUUGUCCCCUUUUAGAUAUAUUAUUGUAAUAAGUGGAUUUCAUCAUGUGGAUUACCAUUAUCCUUAUUUCCUUCUAUAUUACUUGUAUUUUGUUUUAUGCUAAUCUAAAAUGCCGCCUCUUAAAACCAUGUGUGCACCGAAAAAGACAGUCGCAUUGUUGUUUGAAGCACUUCAUUUUAUCAGACAACUAAACAUCUACCACACAUGACUGUAUCCACUUCUCUAUUUUUAUUUCUGUGUCUGUCGGGAACUUGCAUUGACAUGGUUGAUCCUUGCUACAUUGUCCGUACAUAUGAUUCAAGCUGAAGUAUCCAGAAAUAUGCAAAUUUCCUUUUACAUUUACAAUGAAGGGAAAGAAAUUCCAGAUUUCUUAUUCAUUACGAAUUGAACAUAUCUAACGACUUAAGUUGUUUAUUGUCAGAUGAUGAAGAUUCCUUUAGAUAUGAAAGAUUUUGCAAGUUAGAUGAUUUAUGCAGUCGGUGCUUUGAGAAUUUAGAAGAUUUAGUGCUUCCCACCUCUGUCAACCUUUAAAUGCAUCGAAGAGAAGCACUUGUGUUUGAUACUUGUUCGGAAAGGAGUAUAUAGAGAAAUGAAGAAGUUAGUAAAAAGAAAUAAAAAUAUAUAUACAUUGGUAUUCAACUAUUAUGUCUGUCUUUGGUUUUACAUGUUUUGUCCUUUAUGUUGGCAUGUAGGGAUAGUUAUCUACAUCUGACAUAAUUAUGAUUGAGUGCAAUUCUUAAUGACUUGUUUUAUAUAAA